rnacentral:rRNA from 1 species
AUAUCAAUAAGCGGAGGAAAAGAAACCAACAGGGAUUGCCCUAGUAACGGCGAGUGAAGCGGCAACAGCUCAAAUUUGAAAUCUGGCCCCCUCGGGGUUCGAGUUGUAAUUUGUAGAGGAUGCUUCGGCGUCGGCCCCGGGCUAAGUCCCCUGGAACGAGGCGCCCUAGAGGGUGAGAGCCCCGUACUCACUCGGGCGCCCUUCGCCAUGUGAAGCUCCUUCGACGAGUCGAGUUGUUUGGGAAUGCAGCUCUAAGCGGGAGGUAUAUUUCUUCUAAAGCUAAAUACCGGCCAGAGACCGAUAGCGCACAAGUAGAGUGAUCGAAAGAUGAAAAGCACUUUGGAAAGAGAGUUAAAAAGCACGUGAAAUUGUUGAAAGGGAAGCUCUUGCCGCCAGACUUGCCGCGGUUGCUCAGCCGCCCCCCGAGGCGGUGUACUCUUCCGUCGGCAGGCCAGCGUCGGUUCGGGCGACCGGAUAAAGGCCCUGGGAAUGUAGCAUCCUCCGGGGUGUGUUAUAGCCCGGGGUGCAAUGCGGUCAGCCCGGUCCGAGGCACGCGUUCGCGAGGACGCUGGCGUAAUGGCUGCAAGCGACCCGUCUUGAAACACGGACCAAGGAGUCUAACAUCUGUGCGAGUGUUUGGGUCUCAAACUCAUGCGCGUAAUGAAAGUGAACGGAGGUGGGAACCCCCUCGAGGGGCGCACCAUCGACCGAUCCUGAUGUCUUCGGAUGGAUUUGAGUAAGAGCAUAGCUGUUGGGACCCGAAAGAUGGUGAACUAUUCCCGGAUAGGGUGAAGCCAGAGGAAACUCUGGUGGAGGCUCGCAGCGGUUCUGACGUGCAAAUCGAUCGUCAAAUCUAGGAAUAGGGGCGAAAGACUAAUCGAACCAU